UACAUUUAAGUAUAAGUAUGUACAAAAGUUUUUGAUACUUUAGGGAAUAAUUUAGUUUAUUAAAUGUAA
rnacentral:tRNA from 1 species